rnacentral:lncRNA from 1 species
CCAGAUGCUGUAGGUAUUUAAGAACAAUACCAGACCUUCCUGCACUUCAACACCUUCUCUCCCAGAACACAGUAAGUGGCUUUAGUAACUUUGCAUUGAAUUGAAACAAUUCCUAAAUGACUAUCCCUUUAAUUACAAUGAAUGACUCUGAAGUCCAAAGCCAGUGGAGUGUGUGCUUUGUGGAUGGAAAUGAUAGGAUGAUAUAAUGGGGACAAAGAACACAGGACUUAAAGGUAGAACACCUGCUUUAUAAUCUCACAUUUUCUACUACACAUACAGCUGUAUGAUCUGGGGCAAGUCACUCCACUUCUCUAUCCUGAGGAGUCAGGCCAGAUGUGCCAUGAGACCCUUCCCAACUUCUCCACAUUCUAUGAUCUGAGCGAAUCCAUCCACUCUCUCUCCUAGCCAAUGAUCAAGGGCACACAUGUCUCCCUGGACCUCACCUUACUUACAUGUAAAAUGGAAACUACAGUAAUAGUAACUGAUUUAUAGAGUUGUUGUAAGGAUUAAAUGCAACAAUUCAGAGAGCUCUCAGCCUAGAGCUGGCCCAUAGAAAGUGAUCAAUAAAUGGUAGCUGUUAUUAAGCCACUUGGCCACAGUUAGGAGAGUGUGAUGUACCCAAGGGAGAGAAGAAGGCCAUCCCCUUGUGUUCCUGUCCAAGUAGGAAGCCCCAGAGUCCAUGAAGCCAUUUGAGCUCUGAAGAGGCCAGGCUGGGUCCCCAGUGCUAGGGUCCUGCCCAGCAGUCUUGCAGUAGCUGGAGCACCAACUGUCCCAUUAAUGACAGCACUGCUGGCAGUUGGGAUGACCCUGUUGUAUAGUCCCAUCGAUUUUCCCAUUACCCUUUAAUGCUGUGUAUUAAAGGCUUUGCAGAUCCACUCUGUUACCUUCUUUCUUUAUUAUCUCCAGGGCCUGCCCAAAUGCUUGGUAGGAUUAAAUUCCCUGGCUGCAGUAAACCUCUCUGCCUUGUGAGACACCUCUUCUUGAGCAGAUCUUGGAGCCAGGAGCCUUGGAGGCCCUCCUGGCUUGCUCCUCAGGUUCAGGCAUACCCUGCAAGCCCUCUGAACAUGAUGGCCCAGCCGCUCAAUCUUCAAAUGCAAUGGAAAGAGAAGUUCCACUUUCCCACCAAUUUCAACAGAAGUUCUGUGAUAGAGGGGCCAGGCGCGGUGGCUCACGCCUGUAAUCCCAGCACUUUGGGAGGCUGA